UACGUAGGGUGCGAGCGUUGUCCGGAAUUAUUGGGCGUAAAGAGCUCGUAGGCGGUGUGUUACGUCGGCCGUGAAAACCUGCAGCUUAACUGUGGGCGUGCGGUCGAUACGGGCAUCACUGGAGUUCGGCAGGGGAGACUGGAAUUCCUGGUGUAGCGGUGAAAUGCGCAGAUAUCAGGAGGAACACCGGUGGCGAAGGCGGAUCUCUGGGCCUUACCUGACGCUCAGGCACGAAAGCUAGGGGAGCGAACAGG
rnacentral:rRNA from 1 species